CAAGAUGCAAGGUUUUUACUUGUUUCUUUUAGUGUCUUGCUAUAUGGUAAUCAUAGCAGUUUGGUUUUUACUAACAAAUUUUUGUUGUAACAACUGGAGCUUGGAAUCAAUGCUCUCCACAUAAAACUAUGGGCAACUGGAGGUAACAAGACAAAGACACCCGAUCCAGGUGCAUAGUUUGCCCUCAAAGCUCUUGCCCGUUCUGGCAUGAAGAUUGGUUACAUUGAGGACAUGAUACCAAUUCCAACAGAUAACACUCGUCGAAAGAGUGGGAGAAGAGGAAGGAGGUUGUGAUAUGUUUUUUUGUCUACAAUAUGUUUUCAAAGUAUUUGCAAUUUGGAUUAUGGUUGUCUUCAACUUUUGUAGGUUAUUUUUAUGUUCUGGUUGA